CUGAAUGGUUAUCAUACUGUUGGCUUGAACUAGUGGCUGUCCCUCUUCAAUUUUCUGUCUCUUAACUUUAUGAACCGUCACAUCUGGCUGCUAGGGGAAUGUGGUUCUGUGGGGGUCUGAGAGACUAGAUGUAGGAGUCCAAGAGCGCAGCCAUAACGGGGCUAGGAAAUGCAGUCUGUUGCAGCUGCCAAAAAACAGCUUGUGGAUCCAGAAAUAGUAGAGCAGCAGCCUGUGAGCCUGGAAUGGGUGGAGAGGAUGCCUGACAGCUGGGACUGGAAAGAUUGAGAGCUGUGUGAUGCAGUCUGAUGAGUGAGAGUUUCAGAAAGAUUUAAGAAAGACAGGCUGCGGCUAAGCGUUGGUGUCAGCAGAGAAACAGAUUCAAAAUGAAGGAAACUGGCAGAGUAUCCAUGAGAUGCUGGUGGACAUUUUGGCGGUAUUUUCUGACCUACCUCAGGCACCUGUCGGAGGAGGAGGACGAUACAUAUAUAGAAGACUUGAACUGGCUGAUGCUGUUCACAACUCUCAGUAUAACCGCUGAUGCCCCUUUCAUAGACCAGCGCUUCUUGAGCAGGACCACAAGCACAGACUGGUGGAUCACUUCAUCACUCUGGGAUGACCAGCAGUGGCUCCAGAAUUUUCACAUGAAGAAAGCUACAUUUGUGGAGUUUUGUGAGCAGCUUGCCCCAACCCUCCAGCAUAACGACACAGACGGGGGGCAGCCAUGUCAAUCUAGAAGUGGGUUGCUAUAACCAUCCGGAAGCUGGCUACCCCAGACUGCUACAUGUCUGUUGCUAACUAGUUUGUUGUUGAAAAGUCAACCGUGGGUAAAGUGGUGGUGGAAGUUUCUGAGGCAGUCAGGCGUCUGACUUACCCCAAGUUGAUGGAUAUAAACAAUAUCGCUGAAGUAGAUGCUGCUUUUGAGAGAAUGGGGUAUCCAGAUUGUGCUGGGGUCAUCAAUGGGACUCAUGCCCACAGUUUGCCUUCCUUAAGGAGUACAUAAACCGCAGAGGGUACUACAUCGUAAUGCAGGCCCUUGUGAACUACAGAGGCUGAUGUAUGGAUGCCAACAUGGCCUGCACUGAAAAAGUUCAUGAUGCCAGGGUUUUCUGCUGAUUGGGAGUCUAACUUCAUGGACAGGUUCGGACACUGUUCUGACCAAAUGAUAUUGUCAAACGGAGUAACUGUCCCCACUGUUAUUCUAGAGGAAACCACCUUGCUUUAGCUUAUGAAACUGUAUCCUCCUCACAGAGGCCAUGCAAAAGAAGGUUUAAUUACACCCUCAGUAGGUGUAGAAUGAGUGAGCAUUUGGUGGAUUGAAAUCCCACUGGCGCUGUUUACAGAACUGUUUGCACUGAUUACACUGGUGUACAGUCUGCAUUAUUGUGGCUUGCUGUGUGUUUCACAAUCUUUGUGAAUCCAAAGGAUGAGCUAUUUGGCACUGAAUGGAUGUAUGACAGUAAUGGAUUGCUAGACCGGUACACUCAGCCAGAAGGUACACUUAUCACAGCUGGAGAAGGAUACACAUGGGCAACAGAAAUCAUGGAUACUUUGUGCACUUGUGUUAUGGACUUGUCUGGAACAAUGGAGGAGGGAGAAUGGUAUGUUUUAUGGGUGUAUUUGUACAGUAAUUUUUAUAAUAAAUGAAGUACUGUUGCUGUAAUGCUACAAAUGGAGUGUGUGUGAUUGUCACGAAUGGUUAACUGGAUGAGAUAACUGCUUAUCUAGUGGGGUGGAGGCAGUGGUUUGUGUGUGACAUGAAAUGUGGAUUUUCAUUAUGGAUUGAUCUGAAUUGAUGUAUUAAGAACUUGUGUUUGGAUAAAACUUCCUAGUUGUGCCUUAUCAUGUCUUCAUUCUUUGAAAUACACAUUAUAGGAUGUGAUGGAAUGAUGGCAAUAGGCUUUUAUUUUAUUAUAAAA